rnacentral:rRNA from 1 species
ACGGGWCAUUGCUUAKUAGCGGCGAGUGAAGCGGCAAAGCUCAAAUUUGAAAUCUGGUACUUUCAGUGCCCGAGUUGUAAUUUGAAGAAGGUAUCUUUGGGUCUGGCGCUUGUCUAUGUUUCUUGGAACAGAACGUCACASAGGGUGAGAAUCCCGUGCGAUGAGAUGAUCCAGGCCUAUGUWAAGUUCCUUCGACGAGUCSAGUUGUUUGGKAAUGCAGCUCUWAGUGGGUGGUAAAUUCCAUCUUAAGCUAAAUAUUGRCGAGAGACCGAUAGCGAACAAGUACAGUGAUGGAWAGAUGAAAAGAACUUUGAAAAGAGAGUGAAAAAGUACGUGAAAUUGUUGAAAGGRAAGGGCUUGAGAUCWKACUUGGKAUUUUGUAUGUUACUUCUUCGGGGGUGGCCUCUACAGUUUAUCGGGCCAGCAUCAGUUUGGACGGUAGGACAAUUACCCGUGGAAUGUGGCACGGCCUCRGUUGUGUGUUACAGCCACUGCCGAAWCUGCCAGUCUAGACUGAGGAGUGCCGUUUAUMCCUACGAUGGUGGCMUAAKGAUSUUUCUUUUCCUCGUCUGARMMAYRKGACACAAA